UUACGGUCAAAUCACGCUGAAACACCGGUUCUCGUUCGAUCACCGAAGUUAAGCAUCGUAGAGCCAGGUCAUUACUUAGAUGGGGUCCGCUUGGGAACACCUGGUACUGUAAG
rnacentral:rRNA from 1 species